AGUGAACGCUGGCGGUAGGCCUAACACAUGCAAGUCGAACGGCAGCACAGUAAGAGCUUGCUCUUACGGGUGGCGAGUGGCGGACGGGUGAGGAAUACAUCGGAAUCUACUUUUUCGUGGGGGAUAACGUAGGGAAACUUACGCUAAUACCGCAUCCGACCUACGGGUGAAGGCAGGGGAUCUUCGGACCUUGCGCGAUUGAAUGAGCCGAUGUCGGAUUAGCUAGUUGGCGGGGUAAAGGCCCACCAAGGCGACGAUCCGUAGCUGGUCUGAGAGGAUGAUAAGCCACACUGGAACUGAGACACGGUCCAGACUCCUACGGGAGGCAGCAGUGGGGAAUAUUGGACAAUGGGCGCAAGCCUGAUCCAGCCAGACCGCGUGGGUGAAGAAGGCCUUCGGGUUGUAAAGCCCUUUUGUUGGGAAAGAAAAGCAGCAGGUUAAUACCCCGCUGUUCUGACGGUACCCAAAGAAUAAGCACCGGCUAACUUCGUG
rnacentral:rRNA from 1 species